GCCAGCAGCCAUACCCCCUGCAGUUCAGACUUGGCAAUCCACCAGAAGCUAAACAGGUUUUGGUAUGGCCAAUUCUUCGAUGGCAGACCAACUAGGAAAGCUGUGUUGCUCCUGGAA
rnacentral:rRNA from 1 species